AAAGCAUCCCAUGCCAACACUCAAUCAUUAUACAAGCCUUGAAGUCCCCGCCAUUCUUCACAUCCGGCUCUUUCUCCUCCUUUGCCUUCAGUUUUACUUCAUCUUUCAUAUUAACCACAAAGAUCACAAGCCAAGAUCAAGAUCACGGAGAUUAUUAGGGCUAAGACAGAGGAGAGGAGGCAGGAGGUGAGACAAGGGCGGCAAAGGCAGUGGCCGGAAGGUGAUGGGAAGAACGACGGUGGAUCCAACUGGGCUUGUGGGAGAUCUGGAAAGGUUUUUUCAAUAUUGUGAAAAGGUUCUUGAAUCAUUCACAUGUUAAACUACUGCUUGGAUCUCACUUUGACUUGACCAGCAGAUAAUGAAGAUGGAGCAAAUAUUAAAACAAUUAUAUCCAUUGAGGGAUCAAACAUUCUUGAGAUUAAUUAUUGAUGAAGAUAAAAGGGAAGGAGGAGAUGGAGAUGAAGAUUUUAAUGAUGUGAUGGUUGAUGAAUUUUAAUGAAGACCAUUUUUGUAUGUCGUAAAAGAGAGAGGGAGAUGAAGAUCAUUUUAAUGGAUUAAUGAUUUUAGCAAACAUUGUAAUAGUAAUGGAUGUUUUUAUCUUAUGUCCAGUUUUUUCCAAUUUUGUUAAUCUUUUGAACAUUAUAGGUUAAGUUAAAUAUAUUAAUAUGUUAUGUA